AGGCGGCUGUGGCUGCCAGAGCCCGGGUCAGGGCUUUUAUUGUGAAAGGAGCUCCCCCUCCCUAGCUUUCGGGGAAGUGGGGAGGCUGGGCCGGGACGCACAGCAGGGACUUCGCAAACUCUGCAAACGCCCCUAGUUGAACGCGGAGGCUCCCGGCUGUGGAACGGCUCCUGCAGAACCUCAGAUCCUCAGAUGACACGCAGACUCCGCGUGCAUUCUCCCGGAGCUCCUCUAACAACCCCACCUGCAGAGCAUCCCCGAGCGCGCUGCGCACCCAGGAGUCGCGGGGCCACUUGGCUGCUGGGAAGCUGUGGACGUCCCGUCCGGGAAACCCGCGUCUAGGGAAGCCUGGAGAGUCACGGUGCAAGUGGCGACCCCGGGGCGGUGGGAUGAGCCGGAGAGCCAGCUGAGAGCUCCCAGAAGCGGGUCCAGCCACUGCGGGGGCCAUGGCAUCUUGGCUCUGGAGAAAGCUGCGUGGCAAAAGGCGGCUGGUGAUGGCAUUCUGCCUCCUGAUGACUCUGUCUGCGGUGGCUGUCACUCGCUUCCCCCCACAGCAUCCUGCUACUGGCCCAGACCCUGGUCCCAUGGAGCCCCAGGAGGUAACGGGUGCCCUUGGCCCCCACAGCCGGCAGGCUCUGAGCUCCAGCUGGAGGCAGCGGGCAAGAGACCUAGGGCUCUGGAGAGGCUGGGCCUUGCCUAGCCCCAUGUGUGCUGGGGAGCAAGGCCACAGAGGGCCAGUGGACAGGAGCAGGAAGUCCCUGGGAGGGGACAGCAGGCGUCCAGGGAGGGUCAGGAGGGACAUUACUUUGGCAUCUCUAGGAGAUUUGAGACUCAGUACCCGGCGUCUUGUGCUCCUGGGGGAGGAUGAAGUUAGGAGUCCAGGAGCCAAAGACUUGGGUCCCCCCUGGCAUGAUGGUCUCAUCAGAGAGGCACAGAAUGAAACUGGCACCCUGGUUGGCCCCCUCACAGGACAUGGCAUGACGGCUUUACAGGCUUGGAAAGCUACUGCUGGACCGACCCUCCGGUCCCACCCAGCAGAAGGCAGGAAUCUUCCAGGAUUGACUGGUGGGCGACAAACAGGGCAUCCCACACCAUCUGCAGGGGCUCGUCAGUGGCCUGGCUCUGUUGGGGAGCUGCAAGGAUCUGUCUGGUGUGAGGCUGAGACCCCUGGUCUGUUGACCGGCUUGAGGACCAGUGGGCAGGCUCCCCCGUGGCUCACAGAGCAUGAUGUGCAAAUGCUCCGGCUGUUGGCCCAGGGGGAGGUGGUGGGCAAAGCCAGGGUCCCUGGCCAUGGGCAGGUGCUGCAGGUUGGCUUCUCCAAUGCGGGUGCCUUUCGGGACAUGUCUUCUGGGCUCAGCCAUCUCUGCUCCCAGGGGCUCUGCGGCCUGAUCAAGAGGCCUGGGGACCUGCUGGAGGUCCUGGCCUUCCACGUGGACCGAGUGCUGGGGCUGCACCGGAGCCUGCCUGCUGUGGCCCGGAACUUCCGGAGCUCCCUGCUGCCCUACCGAUACACAGAUGGCAGCACAAGACCCGUCAUCUGGUGGGCGCCCGAUGUGCAGCACCUGGGUGACCCAGACGAUGACCAGAACUCUCUGUCCUUGGGCUGGCUCCAGUACCAGGCCUUGUUGGCACGUGGCUGCAGCUGGCCAAGCCAGGCCCCCUGCCUGGGCCUCCACCACGCCGAGUGGGCACGCCUGGCACUCUUCGACUUCCUGCUGCAGGUCCAUGACCGCCUGGACCGCUACUGCUGCGGCUUUGAGCCCAAGCCGUCAGACCCCUGCGUGGAAGAGGGGCUCCGGGAGAAAUGCCGGAACCCUGGCGAGCUGCGACUGGUCCACAUCCUGGUCCGAAGCAGUGAUCCAUCCCAUCUGGUCUACAUCGAUAACGCCGGCAACCUUCAACACCCCGAGGACAAGCUGAACUUUCGGCUGCUGGAGGGCAUAGAUGGGUUUCCUGAGUCUGUCGUGAAGGUUCUUGCAUCAGGGUGUCUACAGAAUAUGCUGCUCAAGUCACUGCAGAUGGACCCAGUGUUCUGGCAAAGCCAAGGCGGGAGACUGGGACUGACGCAGGUUCUCCAGACCCUGGAGCGGCGAGGACAGAGGCCUGGAUUUGAAUGCAGGAGCUCUGGGUUCAGAUCUGGCCUUGGCCACUUAAUGGUUAGCAACUGACAAGUGUUUAUUGAGCACCUGCCAGAGUACCGAGUAACGUUUACUGAGCGAUGACUACGUACCAGUCGCCGUGACGGUGGUUUAUGUGGAUCAAGGCACACCUAACCUCGUGACGACUCGACGGAUCAAGAACCUCAGCUGGGGAGGGAGUACAUUGCCCCGUGGCCAGACAGAUGGAGGUGGCAGAGUCUGCCCAUGAACCUGGGGAGCGCUACCUGGCAUGAAGUGAAUACGGAUGGUGGUCUGCACUGUGCAAAGGAGCUGUACCGUGUUCCUCAUCGCAAAGCCUCAAAAUAACUCCAUAAGGUAGGCAUUAUUGCUCCCAUUUGACAGAACAGAAGACUGAGGCUCAGAGACAUUGAGUCACUUGCCCAAGGUCACAGAGCAGGUAACUGGUAGGGCUGGGAUUUGAACCCAGGCUCAUUUAACUCCAGAACCCCUGCCCCCACCACUAUAGCAUCCUUCCUUCCUUCCUACUGUCAUUCAUUCACUCAUUCAAGAAAUCUUAGUGAGAUUUCCCACACAGAAUAUAGAAUUUGGAAGGAAUCAGUGUGUGUGCUGCAUUGUGGUGGCCGCACGUAUGCCAUUUGGCCAUCAGAGUGGGUGUCCUGGCCUUCUGUUGGUAAGCAAGGUCCCUGUCACUGGGGAUACAGGAAGUGUGAGGGCAGUGCUGUGGGCAAGAGGGGGUCAGAGCUGAGUCGGCGGGGGUGCAGCACAAGGAGAUGUGGGAGGCGAGAUCUCUGUGAACGCUGCGAGCCGGGCUUCCCGUGGACCAGGGCUUUCAGAGGAGUGGGCGGUCCCCACUGAACCCCAGAGGCUCACCCACCAGCUCAGACAAGACACUUCCCGCAGUCCCCACUCCUGGGCCACCUGAGGGCCAGGAGCUUCCUCUCCUCUUCUGCUCCAGGCUUCCUCUCCAAUCUGCCUUUCCAGGGACCCUGGCCUUUCGUCCCCUGGAACCUGCCCCUACCCUGCCCUAAGGCCUCUCCAGUGGGGAGGAUGGAUUACUUAUCAUCACCCUGAAGGAGUUCUUCCCCUCCUGCCCCUCACCUCCUCCUCUUUACUUCACGGGCCCUCCUGUCCUCCCUCGCCCACCUCCGGGCCCACCUGUGGUUCUGGUUAGCACUGUUCAGGGGAUGCUUAUUUGGGGAGUGGGGCCUGCUAGGGCAUGUGGGUAUAGGGGCCAAAGGUAGAGUAACCUGUGCAACAUCUGGUAUUGUCCAACCGAUGAGAGAAGUCAUUUCAUGGAGGGAGGCACAGGAGACAAGAUAAGUGAAGUCCCUUCACGCUGAUGGAUGCAAGAAUAUGGAUUUAAAACAAUUUUUUUAAUGUUUAUUUAUUUUUGAGAAAGAGAGAGACAGAGUGUGAGCAGAGAAGGGGCAGAGAGAGAGGGGGAGACACAGAAU